GCUGGGCGGGGAGCAGCGCCCGCGGGAGGGAGCGACGGCAGCUCCCGACGGGGCUGGCCAGGGAAUGCUGGCUGUGAACGACGGGGAUGCUGCGCUCAAUGUCCUCUCCCGGUGCCGGGAAUGUCAGGGCCGGUGUCCUCCCCAGACGCACGAUCCGAACGAGGUUUCGGACCUGCCCCCGCAUUCUUCCCCGGCUGCUUCUCGGGACCGGGAAGGGUUUCCCAGUGUUUCGGCGGAGGAAGGUGGCAUUUCCCCACUCAGGGCUGUGCAAACCCGCAGCUGGUGAAGUAGUCUCUAUUAAUAUUCACGAGAAGCUCUGAAAUGCCCGUGACAAAGGCUGUGACUGCAGAUUCCUGUUGCCAGGCCAGAAACGCAGAGUUCGGCAUAACUCAUCACUGAUGUAACCUUCCCACUCCGGGGAGUUUCCGAGCAGGCAGCGAGGAUUAUAAGAGUGGGACUCAGGCACGGGCAGGACAGAAGCCAUGGAGCACUGCACACACCGAGACUGCACUGCCAGCCACAGGGGCCAGCUUUUCAUCUUCCAGUGCAGAUGUGGACAGAGGACUUGCCCCCACCGUCUGCUUCCAUGGAUAGAGCCUGGAGAGCAGCUGCAAGAUGAAGGAUUGAGACCUCACUGAUGCUUCUCCUCUCUCCCUGUCACACCAUUGCCCUCCACCCACUGGAGGAAGCCACAGCGUGGAGGGGGCCCAGCCUUUGCUCUGAAAGGAAGCAGGAGGGAGACAGUGGGAGGUCAGCAAGAGUUGGCAGCAACAUUAUCUGCUUUCCAGCUGUGCUGAGAUGCUUCUGCUGGCAAACAGGAGCUCUGCUGUCCCUCUUCUCACAGGAGUGUUUCAUGGUUGGGAUUACCAAAUAAGUCCUGUAAAAUGCUGGUAUGCUGUGCUUCACUCUGCCAAUGGGACAAGAAUUUUGGUAUUUCUGCAACAACCUGUCUUGUCCAAAACAACAAAAUAAACAAAGCCAUGUCUGUCUUGGA